rnacentral:misc_RNA from 1 species
UACCGAGGGAGCGAGCGUUAUCCAACGUUAUUGGGCGUAAAGGGUAUGUAGGCGGUUUAUCAAGUUUUGUGCGAAAUGCUAGAGUUAACCUUUAGAAGUGUUCAUCAAACUGUUAAAACUAGAAGUAUGCAUAGGUGGGUAGAACUUCCAGUGUAGGGGUAAAAUCCAAAGAAAUUGGAAGGAAUACCGAAGGCGAAAGCAACUCACCGUGCUAAUUUGACGCUGAGAUACGAAGGUAUGGGGAGCAAACCGG